rnacentral:tRNA from 1 species
GUAGCUUAAUGGUAGAGCACCCAAUUGGCAAUUGGGGGAUCUUGUUUCAAGUCCCGGC